GUGUGCAUAUUUUUGCACACAUGUAUCCAUUUGAAGAACAACACACCUAAAAGUCCUAAUUCCAUCAUCAACAUCUCCUGAAAAGAAUCCACAAACCCACAAAUAUUAGUUAAAUGUGGGUUGGAACAUUCAAAAGCUAGUUGAAAAGCAGAAUAAAUAAAUAAUACUUUUCUCUUUAGCAACUGUCUCAUCUUUCCUGCCACACUCAAGCUGUAGCAUAUUUUUUUACAUAAAGUUUAGCAGCUAAGAAUAAAGUACUGAUCCUUAGUGAAAAAAAAAUAGUAGAAUUCCUAAGUAAGAUGCAUUUGUAGCAGCUUUUGUAUCCAUUUUAAUAUAAUUUUUCAGGUUUUUUACAGGCUGGGAAAUUAAAGCAGAGCCAGUGAGCUGCACUGCCAGGUAAGAGUUGGAACCCAAACCAUGCUUCCCAUUACCAAAUUCCCCAAGGCUUCAUUUUUCUAGUAUUUGAGGUUUAUAGAAAAGAACUGCCUGGCUUCUCUCUAUGCCUGUAAAUUAUUAUAGGCCUCACAUUUCUAACCUCUCCUAAUUGCCAGUAACAGCAAUACAGCCUCCUACUACUUUAAUCUUUGUCCAAAUUCCCAUUUCUGCCAAGGAAUGCAUUAGGCAGCAAGAUAAGACUCCAGGAAAUGUAACCUUUGCCCCAAAUAACCUGUCAUGAACUGUAAUGUUUUAUCACAACAACUGUACUUUGCACAGUUGUGUAAAAGAGCAACCAUCUGCCUGCCAAACCUGCAGCUCUCCCACGCUCUGUGGCGCUGACCCCAGGAUUCCCAGGUUUUGCCUGUUGUACUACUGCUGCCUGCUGGUUCUUUCCAAAGCCAUGGCUGUUGGGUAGCAGCACCAAGGCAGCAUUGUUGGGUUUGUGCCCUACAUGGAUCCAUGCUUGGUACAAAGAGGAAGAGGAGGCUGCAAGGUUCCCUCAGUGCAGAUUGUUGGGGGCAUACAGCAGCAGAGCAAGAAGGAAGAACGGCAGAUACAGCUGAAAGAUUCCAUGCUUAAAAUAAUUCAGUCUAAUGCUGGUUAUAACCUCCAUUUUAAUGUAUAUAUGUGUGCAAGUCUUGGUCAAAUGGAUCACGCCCUGAGAAACUUUUGCUCUUCUCAGGUUUCUCAUUACUCCAGUGUGCUUUAAUCUUCUUUUUCAUAAAAGCUAUGUAAUUCUGUGGCACUCCACCAAGGAAAAGGCUUUAACUAUGUCAUGAAAGCUUUGUUCAAAAUCCCAAGUAAAAACUUGUGUAUUACUACAUGUAACAGAAGACUGAAUUUAUUAAUAAGCCUAAACUUGUUCCAGGCAUUUCAAAUGAAAAACGCUGUUAGCUAGCUCAGCAAAUACUAGUGAAGCUGAACUGCCAAUUUGCAAAUAGACUGGCUAUAUCAAGAAAGAUGACAUUGGCCUUCCAUUUAAUAGUUCAGGUAUUUGAAUAAUUUUACAUUCAAUUUUAAUCUUUCUUUGGUAGCUUGUAUUUCUGGAUAGAGCUUCAGGUAUUGAGAAAUGGGUGGAAUAUAAGCUGAAUAGUUUUUCCCAGUGAGAAACUGAGUUAUGUGAGGGAACAGCUCCCAGCUGCUGUCUCACUGCUGCUUCCAUAUGCUGCAUAUACACCGCUAUUGGAAGUAGCUAUAGAUCAUGGGCUGCAGGGUCUUUGGUGGUGUUACCACACUUGUUUCUCAGCCUUUGUUGCAGAAAGAAAGAUGAGGUCCUAAAUGACCCAGGAGGUUGUUGAGAGGUAAGGGAUAGAUUCUCAAAGACAAAGAUGCUACCACUAAACAGGCAUGUGCAGCUCUCAAAGGACGGCUAAGUACUUUGGAAACAUUUUAGGCCUCUAAACAUAUUGAAAUGGUAGCUUUCUAUUGGAGUUCUUUUUGUUCACCUUAUCACAUUAUUGAUCAAUUCUUUGAGUCAGGCUUUAUAAUUACUGUCAGGCUGCAGAUGGCUAUUAGGAGAAGCCUGCAGAACACAAAACAAAGAAAGUGUCUGCAGCAAAGCUGGACAGGUAAAGUUACAUAUUUGGGCGUGAGAUUUUCUAACAGCUCAUUUCCACUUAAAGAGGUUCUGUGCCCUUCUCCCUUGGCCUCAGCCUACCUCCCCUUACAUGCACUGGCUUGUGUUUUCUGACCCUGCUCCAAGCCAAUUCUAAUUACUGGAAUUGAGAAGAAUAUUAAACUGGAAAAAAGGUGAAUCGUUUGUUAGCUAUGGAGUUGACUCAAGGCAUGAAUGUAUUGAUGAGCGCAGAGUUAAUACAAAGGAUGUGACUGGAUCUGGGUCUAGGGAGAGGAAGAGAAAAACUAAACAAGAGCUUUACAGCAAUGGAAAUGGGGUUAAUGUUCUUUGUUGUAAAGUGCCACUACUCCUGAAUAGCAAAUGGUCAAAUUCUGUUCAUGCAUAGUCCAACAUCAUCCUGCAUAUGCAUUUAUCUUGGUCAUUAUGGUUUUGUCUUUCACAGCCUGGGUCUCAGUGGGUAAAGCUGGGACUGCAGUAUGGCAGAUCAGUGAGACACCAGCAACAAGGCUUUGCUGUCAGGGAGAGUUGUCAUUAGUAGUGGCAUAUUUUGUAAGCUUGCCCCUCAGCUCUCUCCAGGUGAUAAUGUCUCUUGCCAGCUCCUUGGGACAAAGGUAGGCUUUCUUCUGUUUUUUCCUCCCCUUAUUUUUUAGCUGUUUUUUUCCCCCCAUCAUAAAUUCUGGAAACAGAUCAGCUUUCCAUUUUUCUCUCAAAAAUCUGUAGAAAAGCAAGACAACAAAUAAGUAAAUGGCAAUGAAACGUACUGCCCAUGAAAGAUUUGGCAUAAUUCAGUUGGAGGAAAAGAAGGAAAGUUAAUGGUUGGCAGCAACUAGUAAUCACUCCAGUAUUUUGAAGUUUUUUCCAGAUCAACUGAAGACAUUUUCUGUUUUUGUUGAAGUGAAAGAAUAUUUCCAUUGGCUGCAGUUGGGGCAGUUUUAAUCCCUUAAGUUUUGGACCAUCCUGUUUUCUAUUUCAAUCUAAAAUAAUGAAGUACAAUAUUCUUUCAAAACUGGGUCAGUUAUCUGAUGUGUGAAUUCAUCAUUUAUUUUGACACUUAUCUGAUUAUAUCCUCAUUCUUCUAUUGAGGUUAGUUUAAAAGAAAAGGCACCUCCCAAGCUAUCCUCCCUUGAAAUGUCACCUGAGGCUUUCUUGUUCACUUUUUAAGCUCUGUGGGAAGUGCAGCUUCAGCCCUAUUAUAAACAAAACACAGCAAGAACCUGUCUUCCUCAUGCAACAUGUCUUGGGGUGAGCAUGGCAAUGACUCACUGUUGCCUCUGGCACCCUGCUUUGGCUGGGCAGGUGCAGUGGCAGGAACAUGGGAACAUCAGUUGCAUGGGCAAUUCAUGCCAAAACAGGGACAGCUGUGCAUGCUGGGGAACAAGGCAGUUGCCUGGAUAUAAACUGCAGAGGGUGGCCAGGACAUCCACACAGGGCUGAAGACACAGCACAGGACUUACUGGACCUCUGUGCCCUCUGCCUUGUGGCUGGAGGCUGGCUGCGAUGUGCCAGGCACUCAAAAAGGCAGCUACAUGUGAAAACCUGCAUCUUCCUUGGAAGAAACACACCCUAGAGAUAGUGUGUUAAGAAGUCAUGGGUGAAAGCUAACCCACACAGAGCAGGUAGUUGCUGGUUUUCCUUAACGUAUUCUCCUCAGAAACUCUUAAAUGGAUUAUGGUUUCCACUCCUUUUUUAACAAAUGGGCUAUUUGUGAUGUUUUUUCCCUUUGGUAUACCAUAUUGGACUUCUUGGCAGCCUGAAGGUCCAGGUUCCCAUGUUGCAGUUGCUGCUGCCUUACAGGCAGCUCUCAGCCCAGUGCUUCUGGCUGCACAAGUGCAUCCCUCAUGUUUUGUCUCCUGGAAAACUGGAGGAAUGGUCCACCUUCAAGUGGACAGAUUAACCAAAACUCAAGGAAUAAUAUGUCCUUCAGGUGGACAAAUUUUCUCUGAAGAAAGGAAUUAUUUUCUUCUUUGUCUGUGCAUGUAGACAUUGGAUACAGUGGUCUGUUUUGGUAUAGAUCAGAGGGAAUUUCAAGUUUUCAACUUCAUAUUUCCCUAUGAUACCUUCAGGUAUUCUUUGUAGUCUGUACUGUGCAAACACAUCCUACAGUCAGUCAGUCAGCCUGAGGACAUUGGUGUACCUGUGCCCAGUGACAGUAAAAAAAUGUGUAUUUUCUGGGGCUGAGCUGAAAUAUGCUGCUCUCUGAAACUUCAGCUUUUAGGGUUGAGUGGAGAACUUUCAAUGAGGGUAAGAGUACUGCCACAGUAAAUGCAGCUAGACAUGGCAAUCUCACACAGCCUGGGGACACAAGACAUGAAAACUAGGUUUUCACAGCUUGCUUAGUCUGCAUUUUUUAGUUAACCAUCUUGGAUUUCUGAGUCAUAGAACUCAGCUACACUUGACUUGAACUUUGAGAAUAAUUACAUAAAAUAUUACAUUUUUAAUUUCCUAUACAGUACUGUACUGAGAGUGAGUUCAGUAAACAAAAGAGGGAGUAGAAGAUCUGUGCUAAUAAAAAUCCUGCCUAGAGUCUCAUUAAGAAAUCUCACCUGUUCCUGUGUAGUGAAUGAAGUAGGGAUCUCUUGAAAGAAGCAUGAUGCAGUUGUAUAAUUUAAAAGGCAUAUCAUCAUAUGUACACAACAGGAUGCCACAUUAAAGGCAAGCUUAAUUCUGGCGUUUCAUGAUAUUAAAGGUAUUGACUUUGCAAUAACAAUUUUCUUUCAGUGCAGGGCCAUUUUUGCUUGGGUGGUGUGUGUGGAUAACCUCAUAGUUUCACAAAAUUGGGAAGGUGAAAAUGCAGGACUCCUAUGAAUACACUACUCAUGUUGUCAUUUAUGUUAUUUAACUCAGCUAGUUAGGAUGCUUUUGAUUAAUAACACAUCCUCUGCCCUUUGAAUUGCCCUCAGAGACAGGUUGCCCUGCCCAGGGAGUCUGGGCCAAAAGGAUGCUAAGAUAUCUGUGUUCUCAUUGCCUUUGACACCUUAUAUGCUGAUAAAUGUAACUUGCUUAUUCCCAACUCCAGAAGAACCUGAGAUUAACUGAGCACAGAACUGUCUAGUAUUUGCUUUUCAUAAUUUCUUUGUGAUAAGUGUGUAUCUUGUGCUGAUCCAUUGGCUCCAUGUGCUGAUCCUUGCCUUGGAGCCUUCACAAGAGCAUAAAGCUGCCCCAGGCAGAGCAGCUGCAGCAUUACUGUGUAGGGGUGGCACAUCUGUCACUCCCUGCUUGGUUUGUAAACCUCCACAGACUGGAGGAGCAGGGCCCCCUCAGCACUUCCAACCCAUAUUUGUUGUGUCCUUGGAAUUUGAGGAGUUUCUCAUAUUGUGCAACCCUCACCUUGCCAAGUGGGAAAUUCUUCAUCAAAUUCAUAGUUACCAAAGAGCUUCCCAAGGGACCAGUUGUAGUCCUGUCAACCUAGGAAACAGCAUGUUUCCCACCUGGUCGUGUUCUCAACAGUGACUGAACAUCUCCAUAAAGAAGGUGUAUUUUAUAUCUUGUUCUCAGUAAUGACAACUAUUUUUGUCAACAUUUCUAAUCACGGGCACUCUUAGUGAUAUCAAGAGUGAAAAUUUUCAGCUGUAUGGAAGUCUUGCAAAGUCAAAUGAAGAACUUCAGGUGAGAACCACUGGACACUUUUUCCUAUAAACAUGAUGCUGGAUUUGUAUAUGGUACCAAUCAGAAAACACUAUAUUCAUUUAUGUCCUGAUUUUAUCAUUCCUUAAGAAACAGAACAUGAUUUUGUCCACUGUAAAAUAAGGACAAUAGCUGCUAUUCAGCUGCAUAUUGUACUUGUGAAGGAAGCAAGUUUCUGCAUCUCGUAUUUCUGCUUUUCUUGUCCCACUUGCACAACGACUUCCUCAAGAUGUACAGAGCCAUUCAGUAGCAGAAUCCAAAACAGUAUUAAACCUGAGAGAGGAAUCAGAAUAUAGGAACUGUCCUAGUUGAUGGGGAAAUAUUUGAUUGACUGCACUAAGGAUGUAGUUCAUUUUAAAUAUUCUCAUCAUUUUGAAAUACUAAGAGAUCUAAAAGUAGAUACUGCAACUUUGAAAUGGAACAUUGCUAUUUGUGGGGAUGGUACCAAAAGUAAAUGUAAUUGUCAAAAAUACACAGAAAUAUUCAGCUGCUUUUCAGCAAGCACUGACCAAAUAAAGGAGCUCCCCUGGAUCAAGCUGUAUGUUAAUUAGUGACCCAUCACUAGGGUCUUUGCUUCUGAAAGUUUAACACCACUAUUUUAUAAUAAACCCAUAAGAUGCUGCAUUUUAGAAAAUACUGACCACAUUCCCUGCUCCCUCUGUCAAUCUGAACAAUUUCAUCUGAACUAAAAAGAUGUUUAGUUUAGCUGUUCUCAUGCUCCCCUAAAAUCUCUGCUUAGAUCUUAGGCUGCUUGGAGUUUAAAACAAUUAAAAUUUGUGGAUGUGUUUUUUGUAUUGUUUGGCCAUACCAUGGUUAUCUAUAGUUAAUACAGGGUGUUUUCCAUGGUAAAUUACAUCAAUACAUGGCAGCAGUGCUGUGAGAAUCAGGUUUCCAAUUCCUUGGUAGUCAGGAAUUUCCGACCCAAUAUGGUGCUCUUUCAAAUAAUCUAAAAGGAUCAAAUAUUCUGUAAGAAAAUAAAUGAACAAAUCUUUUUUAUCAAUUCAUAUUGGUUUUCUGUUGAUGUAUCCCCAAAUGAAGCCAGAAAGAUAAGGAAUUUUUUUUUUCCAGAAAAAAUGAAUCAGUUUCUUAUCUUUGGAAAAAAUUGGUUGGUCUAUGUCCUUGAGUGAUGUUAUGUUGUUUCUCUGAGCUAAUAAAAAGACCAGUGACUCAGCUUCUGUGAUUUAUAAUUCAAUCUCAGGUGAAAAGUUUGAACAGCAUGUCAAUAUUUCAUCCUAAUGUUAAUGUAUUAUCUUCAGGAGAGACCAAAGGGAGCCUUCUGGAAUGCAAAAAUGAAUACAUUUAGCCAUAAAUAUUUUUAAGUCCUCUGCUUGUUUUCCAGGUGGCACCUGCUAUUCCUAAGUGACUUUAAUUCCUUUUUUGGAUUGACCAAACAAAUUUAAUUCCUUUUUUGGAUUGACAGAUCAAAUUUGCCAUCAACUCUGCCACUUUCCAACCAAAACUGGUAGGAAACAUACUAAGACAGAAAAAGAGAUAAUUAUGGCAAGAAGUAUUUUCUGUCUGGUGAGUUGGUUUAUUUUAAUCUUUUGCACUAUCAAUUAUUUCCAAAGCCUUCAAGUGGAAAAUGCAGAUGUAAAUAGAAUUGUGGUACUCCACAGAGCACAGCUUGUGCAGUUUCAGGAGAAAAAGUAGUUUCAGGAAUUAAAUUCAGGUGACUUUUUUUUUUUUUUCAAUUGCACUUCAAAGUUAUAGGGAGAAGGGGGGUGCACAGAGAUUGGAGGAAGCCUCAAAGUGUUUGUGGGCAGGUCACUGUCCAGCAGCAAUGUUUUCCAUGAGUUCAGCAGCACAGGGCCAGGCUGGUUCAGGAGCCCUCUUGGAGCAAGGGCACCUUGUCUGGGUCUCUCUUGCCUGUGUCACUGAGCACCAUCACAUGUGUCAUGGUCUGGUACAGCUCAAACCUACUAAUUCUUUUUGCAGAUGGAAGAGCAAGAGUUUGCUUAGUCACUACUAAAUUGAAACAUGAUUAAAAUAACACAAAAAGCUCUAUACUGUUUCCUGAGGGUUGUCAUGAAGCUCCCAUGCAAUGCAGGCAGCUGACUGCUUUGUUUAGCUUUUCACAAACCUGGUGACUUGUCUGAAGCAAACGCUUUCAGAACCUCCUCUUCUGGCACUUUCGGUUUGCAUUCCAGUUCUAAGAGCAGCUGCUCUUUGAGGGCUGUAUGAUUUGGGUGGCCCAGUUGGAGGAGCAGAUAUGCCCUCCACAUUCAUGGAGAGAAGGCUGAAAAGUAUUGCUCUGCUAGGGAUAAGAAGUUGGUUUGGGCAUAGGAAUUGUAUUUUUAAGCUAAAAUUUGCCAGAAUUGAUACUAAAAGAUACAGUGCUGAUUCCCUCCUGUCCAUUCCUACCCUCUCCCUUGAGUUUGCACAAGCCUGGUCUGAACAACAAAGGAAUUAAUCCAACUGAAGUCUCAGCCAAUGGGAACAAAACCACAGCUGUAAUCUGGCUCAGGGUUGUAAUGUGUUUUUUCAUCCAGCCAUGUGGACAUGUGUGCUCACAGGAGGCAGAGCUCGAGGGAAGGGAGAGAACUGUCUUUCAGGGGACCAGGGAGGAGGAUGCAGGGUGGUCUCUGGGAGCUUGUGCUUCCUCACAGGGUGAGGUUACGUGGGAUGGCUGAGCCUGGAGGUAGCUGUUAACCUGAGGACAGUGACAACAACAUCCAGUAGAACUCUGUGAGCACUUGUGAAAUUUUUCUGAUUCUUACUUCCCUGUGCUGGGAUGGUGCACACAUGAGCACCAAGCCCCAUGCCACAGCAUGCCACAAGCAGGAUGGAAGUGCUGGAGCAGCAUGAGCAGGAGCCCUCAGACAGCAUUUCCCAGGCAGCCACAAAAAUUGCAGAGGUGGGCACGUGGCAGCCUAGCACGACUGUGCAAAAUGGUGUGUAGGACAUGCUGGGAGGUACCCCAAACCCAGCUGUCCCAGAAUUUCACUCACAAGGUAAGUCAUGAGCAUUUAUUGUACAACUGUGUGCUCAGGAUGGCUUUUCACAACGAAGUUGCAUAAAAUUGACUUCUUUGUGUGUUGAGAAACCAAGACAGAGUUGUGGGCACCUCUGCAUCUACACACUAGCCUGUAGUAAGGAUUUUGCAGGCUAGCUCCAGGGCUAGAGAAAGAGGCAUGUGGAAACUUGGGCUGUCCUAAAAAGAGGGCAUUGCAAGAAAAAGUUUCAAGGUCCUUUAUUAGUAAAUUGUUGUUUUUUCUGUUUUGCAAUACAGGACAACUAAAUAUUCUGAUGUUGUUGGAACCAAUACCUCUCUUUCAUCUUCUUUCUUUCAUCACCUUAUUUCUUUAUCUUUGACUAGAAAAAUAUACAUUAACUCCUGGAAAAGCUUACAAAAAUCAAAAAGCUUCGUUGGAAUGACCAUCUGAGAUGAAGAAUAGUGGGGUUUUCUACACGACUUCUGAAGACUGUCUCUACAUAAGAAAGGAAAUGUAAUGAGGCAAAGCUGAAGUGUAUGCUCACCUGCAGUGGUUGAGGCACUCACCGCGGGUAUCAGGCUGCGAGACAGAACAUGCCCCUUGUCAGGGAGCCCUUCAGCUAGAUGGUAUUUAGAGGUCAUGAGAAGAAACAUGCUGAAGACUUACAGCUGAGGUGAGGAGAAACUCUUAAAGAGCUUUAGGAGAGGUUGUUGAGUUGGGAGGAUAAGAAAAUAAAACAUGAGUUCAAAAU
rnacentral:lncRNA from 1 species